GCCUACGGGAGGCAGCAGUGAGGAAUCUUGCGCAAUGGGGGCAACCCUGACGCAGCAACGCCGCGUGAGUGAUGAAGGCCUUCGGGUCGUAAAGCUCUGUCAGGUGGGAAGAAACUCCCCAUGGUAAAUAAUCAUGGGGAUUGACGGUACCGCCAGAGGAAGCACCGGCUAACUCCGUGCCAGCAGCCGCGGUAAUACGGAGGGUGCUAGCGUUGUUCGGAAUUAUUGGGCGUAAAGAGCGUGUAGGCGGUCGGGUAAGUCAGAUGUGAAAGCCCUUGGCUUAACCAAGGAAGGGCAUUUGAAACUGCUUGGCUUGAGUACGGGAGGGGGAAGCGGAAUUCCCGGUGUAGAGGUGAAAUUCGUAGAUAUCGGGAGGAACACCGGUGGCGAAGGCGGCUUCCUGGACCGAUACUGACGCUGAGACGCGAAAGCGUGGGGAGCAAACAGGAUUAGAUACCCCGGUAGU
rnacentral:rRNA from 1 species